UUGACGUGUUUGCCCCCCCCCCAAUGCUUUUGACGUGUUUGCCACCGCCCCAAAGGUUAAUUGUGUGCCCAUCUCGUUUUGAGUAGAAUCCAACUCUCCCUGAGUGGGUGUUUCUCUGUGGCAGUAGCUGUUUUUCUUUUUUAUAAAUGUGUAGUUGUAAGUAGUCAUUCACCCAGUUCCUCAUUGGAUCAUUGAGGCAGUCGCGCUCGAUUUAGCUUUUUAGUUCGUGGUAUCUUUGUUUGCCUUUCCUCUGUGCACAAAUUUUGCCUCGUUUCGUCCCAUGUUUGCUUUUCCAUGUUACUGGUGGUGAUGGACGUCCAAUCCAUUUGAACUAUUUAAACCUUUUUAAAAUAAAACCUAAUAUAAUAAGUAUUUAAAUGUGAGCUUUUAAAAUACCCUAAUUAAAGUAGAAAUCACAAAUAAAAUAGAUUUCUUUCAAAAUAAACUCAUUAAAAUAGGUGUCUAAAUGUAGCCUUCAAAAAUACCCUAAUUAGAAAUAAAAUCGGGAUUAAAAUAGAUGUAAAAUAAAAUGGCUUUAACCUUUUCAAAAUCUCCAAUUAAAACACUUUUUUUAAAAAAAAUUACAUAAUUUAAAAAAAUCAAAUGGACUGGACAUCUAAUGCCAUCAAAGGUGACAAAUUAAUCAUUGUAAACUGCCACUAAAAAUGAACUGGUCAAAAAUGUCAGCUCAUUUGUUAAUUGGUCAUGGCCAUCAAACUUUUUAUGUGUUUUUAGACGGAUGGAGAGGACGAUGUUGUAAGCAUCUUGUCGUGGGUUUUUCCCUUUUUCUUCCUACGUCGAUAAUGGACUUGCACAGGUCCGGAAGUGCCCCUUGCCAUUUGUAGUACUGCUAACGCUUGAACUCUCCUGCCGGUGCGUCGAAGGCGUUUUUACCUGAUACUUGGAAGUAAUGAGGUAUACUAUGCGGAUUGGAGGCUUGAUUGUGAAGUGUUGGAGAAGGGACUUGACUUUCACCAUCUUUCCUCGCUCCUCACAGUAAGCCUGAUUGCCGCAACUAUCAAUAUUGCUAACGAAUAAAUCGUGGCCAUGACGUCUAUUCCAAAAGUGUUGAUGUACUUUCCGGAUUGAAUAAGUGCUUUUAUCUUCAUACAUAAACAUGAUUUAACCAUUUGGACAUUUUGACUCAACUGAAGUUUUAACAUUGAGAUGAACUGGGGUGGGGAAAAAAAAGCUGUCAUUGACCACUAUUCUUACAUUCCAGCAUGAAAAAUUCAGCUCUGCCUUGGGGACAUGCCCACCAAAUCUUAAUUUGGGUCAUUUUUGGACUGUAAGCCGCAGAUUUUCAUGUUCAGUGAUGGGAUAUUUACACAAGACAUGCAGCUCACUAGCCUGUAAAAAUCUAUAAGCAAGCCACUGUGGAGUAACGUUGCGGCUCUCAGUCUGAAAAUGACUAUGUGAAAUGUUUUGGGUAUAUAAUGUGUGUUUUAUUGAACACUAGAAGUAUAUUGAUGCAUAGGUAAAAGACAGGUUAAUUUGAAAAUAGUCUUUUAAAAGACUUAAACUCGGAUACGGUAAUUUAAGAGAAGGUCAGGUCGCGUCGAUCAUCAGGAAAGCGGAGCGCAAGAAGGCCUUUGAAGAAUCUGCAGAAGGUAAGCCAUGUUUCUUUCACAACCAACACGCAGUGCAGAUUGAACUAAUUCUGAUUCUUUGAAUCUUCUCCAGGAACGUGUCCCAAAUGAGUCUUUCAAGUCCAGCACUCCUCAGCGUCCCAUGGACCCUCUGCACGCUUGCUUUGUCCUGCACGUGCUUUUCAAGCAGAGGUUCAAUAUUUGCACCUUGGACGAAAUGUGCGUCUCAUCCGUCCAAAGGAAUGCUGACCCGGAAAACCAACCCUUUCAGACGGCGUCAUGAAACAAACGCCAAGGUCCACCCACCUCUGCCGCACAUUCCCAGGCUUAACGCAGACAACUGUCUGCUUUCUAAUGCUCCUUGGCAAAAGACUCCGUUGAUGGACAAAACUUUGGUUUUGUUUUCCAGGAGAGCAGCAAUCUGGAGCUCACCGUGUCUCUCGUUCUCCAUGGGUGGCCAAUGUAGCGGUCGCACAUCGGUGAUGUUGCACUUUGACUUUGUUGACAGUCGAGCGCGUUGAAGGCUCUUGGUACUUGACAAGCCAUCGCCUCUCAUUUUGAGACAUCUGCUGUCGCUUAAAACGAGUGCUUCUCCUUUGUGGUGGUACCUUGCCGCGAGGACGCCCGCCGCGGGGAGUCGGGGUUCCACGGUGACGUGUCGGAAAAGGGACUUGGCGUCACCUUGGGCCACGCUCCUCACAGCGGACGUUGCCGCGGCACUGUUCGGCCACGACGAAGAAGCCCUCGUCUUGAGCGACCGUAGAUGUCUCAACAUCUGAGGCGAUGGCUUGUCAAUUGCUAAGGGCCUUCCUCUCGCUCUUCGGUCAACAAAGGAAAGUGCAACUCCCUUGGCUUGACCGUGUCAUCGGAGAUUCAUGGACAAACGAGGGACGGUGGUUCUGUUCUGCUCUCCCAAAGAACUGCUUCGGGCAGUAGCACCGCAACCUCUCUUGAGGAUUGGGGCAGAGCUGUAGCCUUUAGGAUGUCGGCUCUCAAAACGAUGAGGAGCUGCAUUUCUUCAUCCCCAACUGCACAAGAUUCCUUCACCAAGGAAAAGUGCUCCCCUCUUCAUCUAGAUACCAGCAAUAGGAUGUACACAUCUGGAGCUUCUGCUUGCCACUGCCCCCGUCCAUCUUGCCUGUUGCCCAUCAGCCUUCAACAAAGCUUGGCUGUGAGAGAAGGGCGCAUAAGAGAUCGGGUUGAAUGGUUUCCCCCUCUUGGUCCGAGUAACUUCCUUGUCUUGCCCAACCCAGAAGAAGCAAAACCACCCGUUGCUUCAGUGAGCAGAACCUCCGACUUGGAAUUUCAUGUUUUACAUUUGGGAACUUGAGAUUCGGACAACACCAUCCUGAAAUCUUCUGACUCCUGUCCUCCAGGUACUCUGUUGCUGCAGCAGUUGCAAUGGCAAAGUCAAGUCCCUGGGCUGUUUAUGCCUUCUCCAACACUUUGUCCUUGCACUGCACCGACUUUUUGCAGUCAGAGUUGUACGGAACGGAAUCAGAAGUGAUCAGGAUGAUUGUCAGUUUCUCCUCCUUGUUCCAUGGACCAGUCUUUCCAUGACCACUACUACUAAAACACUUCUUGGAAACUGAAGAGGAGUCCUGGUGUUUUUCCAUCAUAACUACCAGCGUAUGAGCGCCUCCUGGAUUGCCUGAUCAGUACACGUUUUCACGGCAUUCCUUCACCUGACCGCUUGGUGUUGACUUUGAAUUCCUAGUCUUGCCCAAGCCAGAAGCAGAACCUCUGCCUUGGAGCUCAUCUGACCCGACUUGUCAAAGCCUGGAAUGAGUCACUAAGGAAUUUCAUGUUUUACAUUUGGGAACUUGAGAUUCGGACAACACCAUCCUGAAAUCUUCUGACUCCUGUCCUUCAGGUACUCUGUUGCUGCAGCAGUUGCAAUGGCAAAGUCAAGUCCCUGGGCUGUUUAUGCCUUCUCCAACACUUUGUCCUUGCACUGCACCGACUUUUUGCAGUCAGAGUUGUAAGGAACGGAAGCAGAAGUGAUCAGGAUGAUUGUCAGUUUCUCCUCCUUGUUCCAUGGCCCAGUCUUUCCAUGACAACUACUACUGAAGCACUUCUUGGAAACUGAAGAGGGGUCCUGGUGGUUUGCCAGCAUAUGAGCUUUUCCUGGACUCGGAUCAUUCUUUGGCAGAAUGAAAGUCUUCACGGCGUUUCUCAGCCUGACCGCCUGGUGUUGACUUUGCCUGCUCCCCUGUUAACUUCGUGCUCUGCCCCAGCAUUUGUGGUGUCUCACUGCUCUGCCGGAAAUGCCCCUUUCUGGCCUCUGCCCCCCCCCCCCCUUCCAAGUCAAUCGCUCCACCAUAACUCCCAGCUUAACCCAGCAUAUGAGCUCCAGGACUGCCAGACUAUUCUUUGGCAGUAUGCAAGUCUUCAUGGCGCUUCUCAGCCUGACCUCCUAGUGUUGACCUUGCCUGUUUAACCUCGCAUGAUCUGGAGCUCUGCGUCUGCAUUUAUGCGGUCUCACUGCUCUGCCGGAAAUGCCCCCUUCUGGCCUCUGCUCCCCUCCGGCGUGUUGGUCGUGCCGCCCCUUGCUUGCCACUGUAUUUGGAAGAACCUUUAGGGUCACUUGUGGACCUGAUCAAAAUGAAGGUGUGGAGUUUCAAGCAUUUGGACACGCUGCGUGGGACGGAACCAUGAGUCUCAAGAAACGUCAGCUCACAUUAGCCGUGCUGUUUUGGAGCCCAUUAGUGACCAUGCUGCUCAUGGUUUUGAUGGAGGACCUGCACGUGACCCACCACCGCUGCUGCCCUGAGCUGCAUCUUCGGCGGGCUGCUGAAGCACCACUCAAUGGCUCUUUUAAGAGCUUUUUUUUUUUUUUUUUUCCCCCCUCCCCCUUCAAUCAUAAAUGGCUAAGAGAAUGUAAAUAAACAAGUGAAAUUUUUCUGUCGGUUUUUCAUUCUUCAUAUUAAAUGUCUGUACUUAAAAUGAUGACUGAAAUACUGUCCUCACUAUUAUUGGCAUGAAUAAAGUCCAUUGGGUUAUU